rnacentral:rRNA from 1 species
AUUGAACGCUGGCGGCAGGCCUAACACAUGCAAGUCGAACGGUAACAGGAAGAAGCUUUCUUCUUUGCUGACGAGUGGCGGACGGGUGAGUAAUGUCUGGGAAACUGCCUGAUGGAGGGGGAUAACUACUGGAGACGGUAGCUAAUACCGCAUAACGUCGCAAGACCAAAGAGGGGGACCUUCGGGCCUCUUGCCAUCUGAUGUGCCCAGAUGGGAUUAGCUAGUAGGUGGGGUAACGGCUCACCUAGGCGACGAUCCCUAGCUGGUCUGAGAGGAUGACCAGCCACACUGGAACUGAGACACGGUCCAGACUCCUACGGGAGGCAGCAGUGGGGAAUAUUGCACAAUGGGCGCAAGCCUGAUGCAGCCAUGCCGCGUGUAUGAAGAAGGCCUUCGGGUUGUAAAGUACUUUCAGCGGGGAGGAAGGGAGUAAAGUUAAUACCUUUACUCAUUGACGUUACCCGCAGAAGAAGCACCGGCUAACUCCGUG